UGGGCUAUAGCCAAGCGGUAAGGCAACGGGUUUUGGUCUCGUGAUCGUUGGUUCGAAUCCAGCUAGCCCAGCCA
rnacentral:tRNA from 1 species